rnacentral:rRNA from 1 species
UGUGAACGCUGGCGGUAGGCCUAACACAUGCAAGUCGAACGGCAGCACAGUAAGAGCUUGCUCUUACGGGUGGCGAGUGGCGGACGGGUGAGGAAUACAUCGGAAUCUACUUUUUCGUGGGGGAUAACGUAGGGAAACUUACGCUAAUACCGCAUACGACCUACGGGUGAAAGCAGGGGAUCUUCGGACCUUGCGCGAUUGAAUGAGCCGAUGUCGGAUUAGCUAGUUGGCGGGGUAAAGGCCCACCAAGGCGACGAUCCGUAGCUGGUCUGAGAGGAUGAUCAGCCACACUGGAACUGAGACACGGUCCAGACUCCUACGGGAGGCAGCAGUGGGGAAUAUUGGACAAUAGGCGCAAGCCUGAUCCAGCCAUACCGCGUGGGUGAAGAAGGCCUUCGGGUUGUAAAGCCCUUUUGUUGGGAAAGAAAAGCAGCAGGUUAAUACCCCGCUGUUCUGACGGUACCCAAAGAAUAAGCACCGGCUAACUUCGUG